AGCUUUGCGCAGUGGCAGUAUCGUAGCCAAUGAGGUUUAUCCGAGGCGCGAUUAUUGCUAAUUGAAACAUACCACCAGCUGAUGUACAAGCAUUUAAAAAGAUGCUGCAAAAGAGAAGGCAAAAAAUAAUUUUU
ensembl:snRNA U4 U4 spliceosomal RNA